rnacentral:rRNA from 1 species
UACGUAGGCAGCAAGCGUUGUUCGGAAUUACUGGGCGUAAAGAGUGUGUAGGCGGUGCUCCAAGUCUGUUGUGAAAUCUCCCGGCUUAACUGGGAGGGUGCGGCGGAAACUGGAGUGCUUGAGGGUGGGAGAGGUAAGCGGAAUUCCUGGUGUAGCGGUGAAAUGCGUAGAUAUCAGGAGGAACACCUGUGGUGUAGACAGCUUACUGGACCACUUCUGACGCUGAGACACGAAAGCGUGGGUAGCAAACAGG